ensembl:lncRNA
ACUGCGGACAGACGGCCUGGGGGGAAUCACAGUGUCGUCCCGAAAGGCUGAGUUUUGCCUGGCUAAUAAUGACGGGGAGCUAGAGAAGAGGGUGAGUGACUUCGGGGCAGCGUCAUUCACCAGUUCUUCCAGGUACUUCAUUUGAUGUUGCCAGUAAAGAGGGAGACUUGCAAUUCGUGGCAGAAACUAGAGAGAGCCCAUUUUCUGACAUAAGCUUAGAAGGAAACUCCUUUGGUGCUGUAAACACAACUGAAAUCCUUUACGUAGCCAAAAAUUUAAGAGAAAAAUCAUUCUCUUAAGACCUGAUAGAGGAAACUUCUGGCAUCCUUGUGUCUCAACUCAGCUUUUCUCUUUCCCAUUUAAAAAUUUAGGAGAGGAGAGAUGUAUGCUAGCAGUGAUAAAAAAAAAAAAAAAAAAUAAAAAAUCAACAGCCCCAUUAAGAACACCUGCAUAACGUUUGAAACAGACUAUUAGGGUUUCUUCCAAACACGCACGUAAGCUUUGUCCAACAGGAGCUGACUCAGAUACAGUGCACAGUUUACUCACUGCUCCCAGCUGGCUCUUGGCAGACCUUGUCUUGGUUUCAGCACAACUCUUGGAAGACACUGAUACCAAAAUUUGCUACUGGUUCACCUCCCGGAAAGAGGUAGCCAGCUUUUCUGCACUGCUCACAUAGAAGAUGUGUGCUCUGGACUUCUCAUUUGGACUUAAAUAUUGCAUUAAAAGAAAUCAUCAAAAGAAAUCCCUAAAACCUUCAGACUCAUUAUGUGAGGGUGUGUGUUUUUAUUAAGGGUAUGUUAAACUACCCUGUUACUAUUCAAGGAACAACCAAGAUGACAUCUCUUUAAGCUACAUCGAUUCAAACUCUCACAGACCGACACAUAGCACGCAGAGUGCAAAUUAAUAUGGUGAAGGAUGGUGCACACUUAAACCACACUUUGAAACAACACACUGCUCCAGAAGAUGAUCUGCUGAGAACAUUCUCAUCUCGCUUAACUGAAAUUAAUCAAAAUUAAACAAAUUCUC